rnacentral:rRNA from 1 species
UAUUGGGCAAUGGACGCAAGUCUGACCCAGCCAUGCCGCGUGCAGGAUGAAGGCGUUAUGCGUCGUAAACUGCUUUUAUACAGGAAGAAACGACUCUUGCGAGAGGCAUUGACGGUACUGUAUGAAUAAGCACCGGCUAACUCCGUGCCAGCAGCCGCGGUAAUACGGAGGGUGCAAGCGUUGCCCGGAUUUAUUGGGUUUAAAGGGUGCGCAGGUGGUUUAUUAAGUCAGUGGUGAAAGACGGUCGCUCAACGAUUGCAGUGCCAUUGAAACUAGUAGACUUGAGUAAAGUAGAGGUGGGCGGAAUUGAUAGUGUAGCGGUGAAAUGCAUAGAUAUUAUCAAGAACUCCAAUUGCGUAGGCAGCUCACUUGGCUUUUACUACACUCAGCACGAGA